rnacentral:ncRNA from 2 species
AUAAUUUAACUAAGCAGGCCAUGAACUUGUAAAAGGUUUGUAGGCUGGGCCUUAAUUGGCAGCAGGAUAGUAAUGAACCUGUGGGACAAUA